UUCUGUGCUUGGUUUGGCAGAAAUAUGCUAAAAAAUUGGAGUGAUACAGAGAAGAUUAGAAUGGCACCUGUGCAUUGAUGACAUGCAAAUUUGUGAAGUUUUAUUUUAUCUG